rnacentral:rRNA from 1 species
GACGAACGCUGGCGGCGUGCUUAACACAUGCAAGUCGAACGGAAAGGCCCUGCUUUUGUGGGGUGCUCGAGUGGCGAACGGGUGAGUAACACGUGAGUAACCUGCCCUUGACUUUGGGAUAACUUCAGGAAACUGGGGCUAAUACCGGAUAGGAGCUCCUGCUGCAUGGUGGGGGUUGGAAAGUUUCGGCGGUUGGGGAUGGACUCGCGGCUUAUCCGCUUGUUGGUGGGGUAGUGACUUACCAAGGCUUUGACGGGUAGCCGGCCUGAGAGGGUGACCGGCCUCAAUGGGACUGAGGUACGGCCCAGACUCCAACGGGAGGCAGCAGUGGGGAGUAUUGCACAGUGGGCGGAAGCCAGAGACAGCAACCCCGCGUGCGGGAUGACGGCCUUCGGGUUGUAAACCGCUUUCGCCUGUGACGAAGCGUGAGUGACGGUAAUGGGUAAAGAAGCACCGGCUAACUACGUG